rnacentral:rRNA from 1 species
ACACUCCUGCGGGAGGCAGCAGUGGGGAAUAUUGGACAAUGGGCGCAAGCCUGAUCCAGCCAUGCCGCGUGAGUGAUGAAGGCCCUAGGGUUGUAAAGCUCUUUCACCGGUGAAGAUAAUGACGGUAACCGGAGAAGAAGCCCCGGCUAACUUCGUGCCAGCAGCCGCGGUAAUACGAAGGGGGCUAGCGUUGUUCGGAUUUACUGGGCGUAAAGCGCACGUAGGCGGACUAUUAAGUCAGGGGUGAAAUCCCGGGGCUCAACCCCGGAACUGCCUUUGAUACUGGUAGUCUUGAGUUCGAGAGAGGUGAGUGGAAUUCCGAGUGCAGAGGUGAAAUUCGUAGAUAUUCGGAGGAACACCAGUGGCGAAGGCGGCUCACUGGCUCGAUACUGACGCUGAGGUGCGAAAGCGUGGGGAGCAAACAGGAUUAGAAACCCUUGUAGUCCCAUGAU